UACGGGGGGGAGCAAGCGUUGUUCGGAUUUACUGGGCGUAAAGGGCGCGUAGGCGGUCGUGACAAGUCACUUGUGAAAUCUCCGGGCUUAACUCGGAACGGUCAAGUGAUACUGUCGGACUAGAGUACAGAAGGGGCAACUGGAAUUCUCGGUGUAGCGGUGAAAUGCAUAGAUAUCGAGAGGAACACCUGCGGCGAAGGCGGGUUGCUGGGCUGAUACUGACGCUGAGGCGCGAAAGCCAGGGGAGCGAACGGG
rnacentral:rRNA from 1 species